rnacentral:piRNA from 1 species
CUAGCAUCACAAGUAUUAGAGGCAA